UACAGAGGUGCCAAGCGUUAGGCGGAAUCACUGGGCGUAAAGCGCACGUAGGCGGAUCUUUAAGUCAGGGGUGAAAUCCCGAGGCUCAACCUCGGAACUGCCUUUGAUACUGGGGAUCUCGAGUCCGGGAGAGGUGAGUGGAACUGCGAGUGUAGAGGUGAAAUUCGUAGAUAUUCGCAAGAACACCAGUGGCGAAGGCGGCUCACUGGCCCGGAACUGACGCUGAGGUGCGAAAGCGUGGGGAGCAAACAGG
rnacentral:rRNA from 1 species